CGUAGGUGCGAGCGUUGCCCGGAUUUAUUGGGCGUAAAGGGCGCGUAGGCGGCUCGGCACGUCCGUUGUGAAAUCGCCCGGCUCAACUGGGCGGGGUCAGCGGAUACGGUCGAGCUUGAGCAAGCUAGGGGGUAAUGGAAUUCCCGGUGUAGUGGUGGAAUGCGUAGAUAUCGGGAGGAACACCAGUGGCGAAGGCGGUUACCUGGGGCUUUGCUGACGCUGAUGCGCGAAAGCGUGGGGAGCGAUCCGGAUUAGAUACCCGGGUAGUCCACGCCGUAAACGAUGCGGACUAGGUGUCGGGGGUAUCGACCCCCUCGGCGCCGCAGCUAACGCAUUAAGUCCGCCGCCUGGGGAGUACGGCCGCAAGGUUG
rnacentral:rRNA from 1 species